CUGAUUCUAACACCUCUUUCAUAUCUGGAGAGACUGAGGCCCAGAGAGGUGACAGGAGUUAUUCAAUGAUUUAGCUUCUGAGCCUGGAUAAGAGGCCAGGGGUUCCAUUCCCUCCUUGGUGGUCUUUUUAUUUCAUCUUCUCCAGGCUAGAUGGUAACCCUCAGCACACACGAGUUCUAUGAACUUUCAGGCAAAUACAGACAGAAAUAAAGGAAGAUAGACCGAACAAGGCAGAAAGAAUGACUCGGUUUGCUUACGCCUGAGCCUACAGCAAUACACCAAAGUAAAAGGCCUGCUUCCUCACUCCUGGACCAGCCAUCACACAUGUGCACUGCCCCGGAUGCUCCUCUCCCAGGUGACAUCAUCAGGUGUUCCAUAAAGCAAUUCGGUGAGUCCAUAUAUUACUCAGUGCUCAUCAAGUGCCUGGCAUAGAGCAGCUAUUUAAGAAAUAUUUACUGAACUGACAGAGGGCUGAAGGAGUGCCCCUUUACCUUCGUCGGUCCUGAGGAGGGCUUUUUCAGAAGACUUGCCUUGUCCAGGCACUUCAUUCUCACUAAGUUCUUCCAGUGCAUUGUCAAAUAGGAGUGAUGAGAGAAGACAUCUUUGACUUGUUCUUGAUCUUUGGAGGAAGGCAUUCAGUCUCUUACCAUUAAGUACAUUAACUUGACUGCAUUUCUUGGAGAAAACUUGGUGAGCAAGCAUCUGCCCCACUGCACAUCAAGGACGUUCCAGACUUUGAGCCAGUUUAUACCCUCAGGGCAGCACGUGCAGGCUCUUCUUGCUUUUCUUAGAACCAUCGUUGGAAUCAAGAACUGGCUCUUGAAUUACUCCCAGCUGCCCGUAUUCACCCUCCCCUGAUCUGUGCUUCCCUAGUUAUGCUUUACCAUGAAAUACUGUUUGGACUGGUUUCAUAGAAACACCUUGAUUCUUCCCUCGAUGACGGUAAGCAUUGUGACAGAGUCU